CCAUAUCCACAGUACAUGGAAGUUCCUGGCCCAGGGAACAAACUCACAUGGCAUGCCACUGUUCUAUUUAUGCUAUUUAUAAUUUAUUCCAUGAAUCAAAAUAUAGGCACUGGACAUCUACUGAGUUAACGUAGCUAUACUAUUUAUUCUAGGAAAUAGAUAAAAUACAUGUAUUUUCCUAUCUAUCUAGGAGAGAAAGUCAUGCAUAUUCAGAAAAGGGGAAGCUUCUUUCCAGGUAAGAAAGUCAGAGAUAAAACUGUGGAGAAGGUGGACUCGACCUACCCGCUUGAGGAUGAUUUGCACUUUGAAGCAAAUGCUUGGCUUUCAUUCUUUUCCUGCUCCUGACCCUUCUCUUCUUCCCUGUCCUCUCCCUCCUCUCCUCAUCCCCCUCCUCCAAAUUCCUGCUUCUUGCCUGACUCUUGGAGGAGAGGAGGGUGAAGAAGACAGCAUAUACCUUAUCUAUGACCAAACACCCGUGUCCACGGCAGGCUACCUGCUUCUCCGUCAUUGUCGCUACUUGUCUAUGAUGCCUCUGAAAGCAGAGGCAAUAUUUCUUUCACCCAUGGCUCUUACCACUAUGCACAAUGCCGAACACAUGACCAUGACAAGCCCACAAUAAACAACACGAUGAUGCUAACGAAGGGCGAGAGAAUUCGAGCCCGGGCGGCGCGGUGAAGAAUGCAGUCACGAGCUAGAAUGAAACAGUCUGAAAUCAGGAAAGAGUGCUUUCACAUUAUGUCAUAAGGACUCCAUAAAUCAUGCUGCAUUUAUAAGAAUUCAGACAGGCUACCAGGGGUUCUGGAGCCCCUCCGCCCCCUGGGAUAGUGAAUUGUACGGUAUUGGCAUUGUUUCUUCCCAUCUGUGUCAUUUCGCCUAUCUCAAUAUUGUGUGUUAUUACCAAACAUAAUUAUACAAUAUCCGUGAAGUCUGGAAGAUACUGAAAGAUAAAAUCAUCCAAAUAGUUAUAAUUUAUUACAGGUUAGGAUGGAGAUUCACUACAAGUCAUGGUUAAGGUUUAAGCGCAUGGAAGUUGAAAUAAGACAGACUGCAAUUUUCCUUGUUCUAUCAGCUACUGUCAAUUUACUGUUAUUUAAGCCUCGAUUUUCUCAUUUGUAAAAUGGGGUUAAAAUAGCACCUACUGCAUAAUUUUCUGGCUGGUGUGAAUGGAGGUAAUAUAUGCAAAUCCUUAUCUAACCCCGUAAAAAAGACAAGUUCUUUCCAUUAAAGCAGAGGUAGCCAGCUACGGGCUGGGCUCUCUGUGUCACUGUAAUUCACGAGGCGCUUUACACACACCAGUCUUACCAUCCCCACUACCUACCUUAGGUGCGCAGAAUUUGAGGAAGAUACGAGGUCUAUAAUUACAGGGGAAAAAAACACUUACUGCAUAGAGAUGGUUAACUAAUGUUGUCGAUAUAAGGUUGAUAAGAUCCUGUCUUUUAUAGCCAUUUUUCAACAGUCCUCCUGGAGAAGGAGGCAUAGAAGCAGGGGGGAAGGGCUCACUGAUAAAUUAAGUCUGUUUUACAUUCUUCCUGUUGUUGCCGUCACUAGACAGUCAUAAUAUACCUGGCAAAAGAUGCUCAUCAGGGGCUAGUGCAAUAGCAGAUGGUCAGAGCAGAACCUGGGUUUACAGUUCCCGACCCUCUGUAUUGAAACACCAGCUACACAUGAAGGUGACAUUGUCUGAUGUACGUUCUAUUACUUUACAUCGAAGCAUCCCUCCUUCCAACAAGGAGGCGCUCUGAGGUGGGAUAUUGUCAGAGCACCAAAACGUGACACACACACCCCCAAUUGUUCAUUAAUCAUCUCUUAUUACUGGGCUUUUCCUUGUUUUAUCAUUAGAGAACACAUGGAAAUCCACAGACAUGUAGGAGUUUGCAAGAGGUAGGACAUAAGAUGCCAAGCGCUAGGGCAUUCAUUCAUUAUACAGCUAGUCUGCAGCAUUUGCCUGUGAGGCUCUCAGAAUUGAAUGGGGCUAUAAAAUUUCAAAACAAAACAACAACACAAACACCACAAACCACCAGAACACUUCCUGAUUGAUGAUGGGCUAAGUGGUAGGAAUAAGCUACCGUAAGACCUUAAAGGAGAGUGACAUACAUUCUAAUUGGACACAGAACACACAUCUUUGACCAGAAACAGUACAGUAGGGAAUUAUCCAAUUAGUACUUCAAUAAUUUAAGCUUGAGUGUUUUGAAACCUACAAGCACAUCCCCUCCAAAAUGAAAUAUUUAUUUGAAAUUUAAAUUUGACACCGCUUCAUUUUUUUUCUUGGGAGUAAGUAGUCUCUGAUAAGAUGUGAUGGUGGUACGUGCAUUAUUUUAACAACAGCCCUUACAUCAAUUUGUAAGACGUCAAGUGAAUAAUCUGAACAAAUAAAAUCAGACCAUGUGACUUUAACUGGAAUUUAAAAGAUUUAAUGAACACAAGAUGUGAAAACUGAACAUUGUGCUUAAGGAAAAGUAUAUAAUCAAAAACUUUCCUUGUUCUGAUAUCAGUACACCAGGUGUAAUGGUUUACACCAGGCAGGCAGGACAAUAUAGAGAAGGCCCCAAGACUCAUGCUCCAUGGCUACUACAAUCUGGAAUUUUUGUUGCAAGAGUGUAACUCAAGUGAUUUCUAGACCUACCUAUACCUUCUCGGCUCAGUAAUUAGAAUCACCAGCCCCACAGCUUUUCAGAGAUUAUCACACGUCAUCCUCAGAACACAGUCUCUGGAGUAAGACUGUAGCUCUGGGACUUUUAGAAAGGCCCCUUAACCCUGUUACACUCAGUUUUCUCAGUCUAAACAGUGGGAAUCUUACUAAUGCUUUCUUCUUAGGAUUCUUGUAACAGUUCAAAUAACUAACCCAUUCAAAUCUCUCUCAGAAUGAUUUACACAUGUCGCAUAUUCCAUAAGUGUUACUGAUCAUUAUGUUAACAUACACAGUCAGGAGGAAUCCGGUUCAAAUUAGCCGAGUGGAUUGCCUAAGGGCAAAGGGCAAGAAAGGAAAUAAUGCAGGGCUUGAAAUGAGGCUGCUGUGAUUUGAAGCUGUAGACAGCAUUAGUAGCUAUGCUGUGCAGCCCCAAGUUCAAACAAGCCACUACGUACUCAGCCCCUACCAUAUGCUGAUAGUGCAUCAGCUCCCACAAUUCAGUGAUGAAUAAUGGGAAUAUUUUUACUCAUGAAAUUUAUUUUCUAAAUGAGAUUAAUACUAUAAACAAAAAAACAAAUAGUUGAAUUGGUUUCAGAUUGUAUUGAAUGCUAUAAAAAAAAAAUAGGUUUGUAAGAACAGAGAAAACAGGGGGAGUUUCUGUGGAUAGCAGAAUCAAGGAUGGCUUCUCCAAGAGGUGACAUUUGAUCUGGGACCUGAAAUACGAGAAGGCACCAACUAAGCAAACAGAAGAGGAAAGAACAUUUCAGAGAGAGGUCAGGAUAUUCAUGUGCCUGGACUUAGCUCUGGGAUGUAGCAUUCCAGAAGAGAGCAAUGGGUAAGAAAGUUCUCUCCUGCUGGUAGAGAGUGAAGAUGGCAGCUUACAUACCCGCCAGAGCAUCCGCGUUCUUGGGGUCUUUGUAAGAAGUCUGAAUUUUAUUUUAAAAGAGCUUACACGUCACUGAGCGAUUGAAGCAGAGACGUGCAGGGAUCUGGAUGGCCUUUGUGAGACUGGAUCGGAGAAGACCAAGAAGGAAGUCAUGAGGUCAGCUUAUUAUAGGGGAACACCACGAACUAGGAACUUUUAGGGGAGGUGGAAAGAAAGUCAUGGAUUUGAGAAAUGUUUGGGGUGGGAGGUAGAUAGAACUGACAACUCUUGGUGAUGACCAGCUAUUGGCUGAUGAAAAAGAGGCACUGAUUCUGUUUAGGUUGAGAAACUGGGUGGAGGAGGGGGGACUUACUCUGAGAAGGUCAGAGUGGGUAGAAAAAUCAAGAGCUUCAUUUUGAGCCUGUAAAUUUUAGACGCUUCUUUCUAGUUGAAGUGGUGAUUAGCGAAUGCAGGUGAAACUCUAUGUGUGCCAUCUCAGACACCAAGGAGCCAUCAACGAUGUCAGGCUUACCACGAAGACAGAGAAUAAGGAACAAGGGUAGGGUGCCAUGGAAAUUAGGGGCCACUUUGUACUGAGAGCGUUCAGUUUUCUUGUCCACAGAAAAGAAAGAUCCUUUGCUUUUGAACGCUAGCAAUUUCCUCAAAAGCCAAUCCUGUCACAGUAUGAAAUUGGUAACAUCACCUCAUACUGAAGACAAAAAUCCCAAAUUUCAGCUGCUUAAAUGGAAAUCUUUUUAAAAUGUUGUUCUAAAAAUGGCAUUUCAUUAUAACUUUAAGUUUCUAAAAUAUGGUCCACAAGUAAUCAUGGAUAUAAUUUCUUCAAAUACAUUUUAAUCUUGUGAAAAAGGCUUUUUUUAAAUAACCCUUUUUUAUUAAUCAUCGCAGAGCAAAAUGUGUGACUGCUGUUUCUGAAGUGUUCCAAACUCUACAUCUACAGAUUAAGAAAAAUUCUUAUACAAUUUUAUAAGUAUAAAUAUUGGGUUAAAUAAAUUUUAUAGUCAUGUUGGAGUGUCAUGAAAUUAAUAUUCACAGUCCAGAUUGCUACAGUUUAUACUUCUGUAUGUUUCAAAUCAGGUGAAUAAUACUGGUACCUAGAGCCCCACAGGAUGAAUUAUCCAACGUCCAUUGAUUUCCAUUUGAGUGUUGGUUUAUAAACAAAUAUUAGUAAUAUCUUACAAAUUUCUAGAAAUUAGUUGUAUCUAAGAAUUUACGUAUCUGUUUUUAGAUAUGUAUAAAUAUAAUUUAAGAAACAAAAAUUGAUAUUGAGUUAUUAAAUUUGCAGUUACUGAAAACUGUUUCAGUAAUUAUUGAUAGCCCUUAAUUAUUAAAGUGUACUUGUUAAAUACAUCUAAUUACUCUGUCCUAGUUCUUUUAUGUUGAAUAUAACUACGUCUAGAUAAUUGAAACUAGGAAGUGAUUAAAUGGUUUAUAUAGAAAGAUUUGUUGGAAUAGGGCUAGCAAAAGGACAAAAGAUCUCAUGAGUUCUGUGGAGAACUAGAUGUUAUAUUCUACACUUAUAUUUUCACCUAAUUUUUCCUAGGGAGUAAGGGGCAAAGAUGUUUAUGUUCUGUCAAACAUGACAAUACGGUGUUAUAAGAGGUAUGCAGAGCUGGCACAAAAACUCAUGGAAUUUAUUGAUGCUAUGAAAUUUAAAGAUGUGAUACUUUUGCCCUUGAGACAAGAAACAUUCAUUUAAUACAGGGUAAGUGUAAACAUAUUACUUUUUACACAAUUCAUAUUUUUUAAAUUGACAGCAUGCAAUUAAGACAUAUUUCUCUCUAUAUAUAUAGAAUCUAUUUUUUUUUUGUCUUUUUUUUUUUUGUUUUUUUUGGACCACACCCGUGGCAUGUGGAGGUUCCCAGGCUAGGGGUCAAAUCAGAGCCACAGCUGCCAGCCUAAGCCACAGCCACAGCAACACCAGAUCCGAACCACAUCUGCAACCUACACCAAGGCAAUGCCAGACCCUCAACCCACUGAGCGAGGGCAGGGAUUGAACCUGCAUCCUCAU
rnacentral:lncRNA from 1 species